UGGGGAAUAUUGCGCAAUGGGGGCAACCCUGACGCAGCCAUGCCGCGUGAAUGAAGAAGGCCUUCGGGUUGUAAAGUUCUUUCGGUGGUGAGGAAGGCUUAAGUGUUAAUAGCACUUAAGAUUGACGUUAGCCACAGAAGAAGCACCGGCUAACUCCGUGCCAGCAGCCGCGGUAAUACGGAGGGUGCGAGCGUUAAUCGGAAUGACUGGGCGUAAAGGGCACGCAGGCGGAUUGUUAAGUGAGAUGUGAAAGCCCCGGGCUUAACCUGGGAAUUGCAUUUCAGACUGGCAAUCUAGAGUAUUUUAGGGAGGGGUAGAAUUCCACGUGUAGCGGUGAAAUGCGUAGAGAUGUGGAGGAAUACCGAAGGCGAAGGCAGCCCCUUGGGAAUAUACUGACGCUCAUGUGCGAAAGCGUGGGGAGCAAACAG
rnacentral:rRNA from 1 species